GAUGAAGAACGUAGCGAAAUGCGAUAAGUAAUGUGAAUUGCAGAUUUCAGUGAAUCAUCGAAUCUUUGAACGCACCUUGCGCCUUGUGGUAUUCCACAAGGCAUGCCCGUUUGAGUAUCAUUAAAUCAUCAACUCUAAAACCUUUGUGGUUUUUUUUAGAGCUUGGUCUUGAGGGUUUUGCAGGCUUUUUUUUUUUUUUUUGAGUCUGCUCCCUUUAAAUGCAUUAGCGAGACUUCCCUAUGCUGAACCGUCUCUGUGACGUGAUAAUUAUCGGCGUCGAAUUUUGGUUCUAGUUGGGCUUGCUUCUAAUCGUCUGUUAAAGACAAAACGGAUUUGGGUGCAUAUAUGCGCCUUUUUCCAAAACCUUUUUUUGAUCUCAAAUCGGGUAGGACUACCCGCUGAACUUAAGCAUAUCAAUAAGCGGAGGA
rnacentral:misc_RNA from 1 species